rnacentral:tRNA from 1 species
GGGUGUAUAGCUCAGUUGGUUAGAGCAUCGGACUUUUAAUCCGGUGGUCUUGGGUUCGAGUCCCAAUACACCUA